rnacentral:rRNA from 1 species
UAAAAAAAUUUUUAAAUAAUUUAUUUUAAUGGGGGUUAAAGUAAAUUUAUUGAAAAAAUUAAUUAAUUUAUAGUAAAUUAGUAUUGUGAAAGAAAUUUGAAAUAUAUGAAAUAUUAAAUUAUUUAAAAGUAAUUUUAAUUUAUUGUAUCUUGUGUAUCAGAGUUUAUUAAUUAAAAUUUAUGGAUAAAAUAUUCUCGAAUUUAAAAGAGAUAAUUAAUUAAAAAAGUUAUUGUUGCAUAAAUAUUUUUAAUAAUUAAUUGGAAAUGAAAUGUUAUUCGUUUUUAAAUAUAUCUAGUUUUUUUAGAAAAAAAUUUAAUUUUAUAUUAUUAAAAAAAAAAAAUUAAUUAAUUAAUUUUUUUUUUUAAUAAUAUUAUAUUUUAAGGGAUAAGCUUUAAUUUAAAUUCAUAUAAAUUUAUUUUAAUUUUAUUAAAAUUUUUAUAAUUUAUAUUGUUAAUAAAUUUUAAUUUAUUAUAAAUAAUUUUAUUAAAAAUAAAAUUUAAUAUUAUUUUAUAUUUUUUAUAAAAAAAAAUUUUAUAAUUUUGUAAAAUUUAUUAUAAUGAUAAAAUUAGUAUAUAAUAUAUUAUAAUUUAUUAAAUUGAAAAUUAAGUUUAAUUAAUUUAAAGGAAUUCGGCAAAAAGUUAUAUUCACUUGUUUAUCAAAAACAUGUCUUUUUGAAUUUAAUAUAAAGUCUAAUCUGCCCACUGAUAUAGUUUAUAUUAAAGGGCUGCAGUAUUUUGACUGUACAAAGGUAGCAUAAUCAUUAGUCAUUUAAUUGGUGACUUGUAUGAAAGAUUGGAUGAAAUAUAAACUGUCUCUUAAUUAGUUAUAGAAUUUAAUUUUUUAAUUAAAAAGUUAAAAUGAUUUAAAAAGACGAGAAGACCCUAUAGAGUUUUAUAAAUAAAUUAAUUAAGAUUAUUUAUAAAUUUAUUAAUUAAAAUUAUUUUAUUUAUUUUGUUGGGGUGACAAAAAAAUAUGAAUAACUUUUUUUAUUAUUAUUACAUAUAUAAGUGAAUUAAUGAUCCAUUAUUAUUGAUUAUAAGAAAAAAUUACCUUAGGGAUAACAGCGUAAUUUUUUUUUUUAGUUCGAAUAAAAAAAAGAGUUUGCGACCUCGAUGUUGGAUUAAGAUAAAAUUUAAAUGCAGAAGUUUAAAAUUUUUGAUCUGUUCGAUCAUUAAAAUCUUACAUGAUCUGAGUUCAAACCGGUGUAAGCCAGGUUGGUUUCUAUCUUUUAAUAAAUAAAAUAUUUUAGUACGAAAGGAUUAAAUAUUUAAAUUAAAUUUAAAAAAUGAAUAUUAUUAAUAAAAUU